rnacentral:rRNA from 1 species
GAUGAACGCUGGCGGCGUGCCUAACACAUGCAAGUCGAACGGAGUCCAGCCUUUAAGACCUUCGGGUCAAAGAGGGGAAGACUGAGUGGCGGACGGGUGAGUAACACGUGGGCAACCUGGCUCAUAGAGGGGGAUAACAGAGAGAAAUUUCUGCUAAUACCGCAUAAGCACACACUGCAGCAUGGCAGAGGGUGAAAAGAGAAUCGCUAUGAGAUGGACCCGCGUCUGAUUAGCCAGUUGGCAGGGUAAGAGCCUACCAAAGCGACGAUCAGUAGCCGAUCUUAGAGGAUGAACGACCACAUAGGGACUGAGACACGUCCCAAACACCUACGGGAGGCAGCAGUGGGGGAUAUUGCACAAUGGGGGGAACCCUGAUGCAGCGACGCCGCGUGAGUGAAGAAGUAUUUCAGUAUGUAAAGCUCUAUCAGCAGGGAAGAUAAUGACAGUACCUUAAAAAGAAGCCCCGGCUAACUACGUG